AUUGAACGCUGGCGGCAUGCCUUACACAUGCAAGUCGAACGGCAGCACGGACUUCGGUCUGGUGGCGAGUGGCGAACGGGUGAGUAAUGCAUCGGAACGUGCCAUUGAGUGGGGGAUAACGUAGCGAAAGUUGCGCUAAUACCGCAUAUUCUGUGAGCAGGAAAGCAGGGGACCGCAAGGCCUUGCGCUCUUUGAGCGGCCGAUGUCAGAUUAGCUAGUUGGUGAGGUAAAGGCUUACCAAGGCGACGAUCUGUAGCGGGUCUGAGAGGAUGAUCCGCCACACUGGAACUGAGACACGGUCCAGACUCCUACGGGAGGCAGCAGUGGGGAAUUUUGGACAAUGGGGGCAACCCUGAUCCAGCCAUGCCGCGUGAGUGAAGAAGGCCUUCGGGUUGUAAAGCUCUUUCGGCCGGGAAGAAAUCGCAUGGGCUAAUACCCUGUGUGGAUGACGGUACCGGAAUAAGAAGCACCGGCUAACUACGUGCCAGCAGCCGCGGUAAUACGUAGGGUGCGAGCGUUAAUCGGAAUUACUGGGCGUAAAGCGUGCGCAGGCGGUUUUGUAAGACAGGCGUGAAAUCCCCGGGCUUAACCUGGGAACUGCGCUUGUGACUGCAAGGCUAGAGUACGGCAGAGGGGGGUGGAAUUCCAC
rnacentral:rRNA from 1 species